rnacentral:rRNA from 1 species
UACGAAGGGGGCUAGCGUUGCUCGGAAUCACUGGGCGUAAAGGGUGCGUAGGCGGGUCUUUAAGUCAGGGGUGAAAUCCUGGAGCUCAACUCCAGAACUGCCUUUGAUACUGAGGAUCUUGAGUUCGGGAGAGGUGAGUGGAACUGCGAGUGUAGAGGUGAAAUUCGUAGAUAUUCGCAAGAACACCAGUGGCGAAGGCGGCUUCCUGGUCUGCGACUGACGCUGUGGCGCGAAAGCUAGGGGAGCAAACGGG